UACGUAGGGUGCAGGCGUUAAUCGGAAUUACUGGGCGUAAAGCGUGCGCAGGCGGUCUUUUAAGUCAGAUGUGAAAUCCCCGGGCUUAACCUGGGAACUGCGUUUGAAACUGGAAGGCUUGAGUGUGGCAGAGGGGGGUGGAAUUCCACGUGUAGCAGUGAAAUGCGUAGAGAUGUGGAGGAACACCGAUGGCGAAGGCAGCCCCCUGGGUUAACACUGACGCUCAUGCACGAAAGCGUGGGGAGCAAACAGG
rnacentral:rRNA from 1 species